GAUCUCGCUGAAAGAAGAGAGCAGAACAGGUUCCGUUUCCCCCUCUUUCUUCCGUUCCCUUCUGCGAGGAAGAACCAAGGCGCCGCUUUCUUUCCUUGACAGCACAGCUGGUCAAUCGCUCCUUUGGAGCAGAAACCUCAGCCCCUUUCCUCGUCUUCACCCUCCUCUGUUUUCACAAUGCAAGAAGAACGCCGACCGCAGAGACGAUAGGGUUCCGUUCCCUUCUGCAAAGAAGAAGAAGAAGGAGACCAGAUAGCGGAGUUGAUGACCGUCCACUUCCUCCCUUCGCCGAUGGAGAGGAAAGAGGGAUCUCCC
rnacentral:lncRNA from 1 species